rnacentral:rRNA from 1 species
CUCCCGGCACGGGGAGGUAGUGACGAAAAAUAACGAUACGGGACUCAUCCGAGGCCCCGUAAUCGGAAUGAGUACACUUUAAAUCCUUUAACAAGGACCAAUUGGAGGGCAAGCCUGGUGCCAGCAGCCGCGGUAAUUCCAGCUCCAAUAGCGUAUAU